ACUUGUAACAACAUUGUUGAUAUUAUCAGACUUAUUGCAAGGUUGUUCCAACAAGUCCGAUACAGUCAUGAUAUAACAAUAUUGUUACAACCUUGUGUCAUCAACCUUGUAACAUUCUUGUUAUAUCAUGACUGUAUCGGGCUUGUUGGAACAACCUUGUAACAAGUCUGAUAAUGCCAUCAAGCUUGUCACAAGU
rnacentral:miRNA from 1 species